UGCAGUCGAACGGUAACAUUUCUAGCUUGCUAGAAGAUGACGAGUGGCGGACGGGUGAGUAAUGCUUGGGAACUUGCCUUUAGGAGGGGGAUAACAGUUGGAAACGACUGCUAAUACCGCAUAAUGUCUACGGACCAAAGGGGGCUUCGGCUCUCACCUAAAGAGAGGCCCAAGUGAGAUUAGCUAGUUGGUAAGGUAAAAGCUUACCAAGGCGACGAUCUCUAGCUGUUCUGAGAGGAAGAUCAGCCACACUGGGACUGAGACACGGCCCAGACUCCUACGGGAGGCAGCAGUGGGGAAUAUUGCACAAUGGGGGAAACCCUGAUGCAGCCAUGCCGCGUGUGUGAAGAAGGCCUUCGGGUUGUAAAGCACUUUCAGUUGUGAGGAAAGGUUGGUAGUUAAUACCUGCCAGCUGUGACGUUAACAACAGAAGAAGCACCGGCUAACUCCGUGCCAGCAGCCGCGGUAAUACGGAGGGUGCGAGCGUUAAUCGGAAUUACUGGGCGUAAAGCGCACGCAGGCGGUUUGUUAAGCUAGAUGUGAAAGCCCCGGGCUCAACCUGGGAUGGUCAUUUAGAACUGGCAGACUAGAGUCUUGGAGAGGGGAGUGGAAUUCCAGGUGUAGCGGUGAAAUGCGUAGAUAUCUGGAGGAACAUCAGUGGCGAAGGCGGCUCCCUGGCCAAAGACUGACGCUCAUGUGCGAAAGUGUGGGUAGCGAACAGGAUUAGAUACCCUGGUAGUCCACACCGUAAACGCUGUCUACUAGCUGUUUGUGAAUUUAAUUCGUGAGUAGCGAAGCUAACGCGAUAAGUAGACCGCCUGGGGGAGUACGGCCGCAAGGUUAAAACUCAAAUGAAUUGA
rnacentral:rRNA from 1 species